AUUUUUCAGAUCUCAAUCAUGUAAGACACCCAAAUGCCAAUAGGAAAUGUCAUUGAGCUGUGUGUCCAGGAGGGGAAGCGAAAGAAUUUGGAGACUCCUCC